ACCCACACUACCUUUGCGAUCGACUGGUAGAUCGCGAUCAACGUGCUGAUCAACGUUUCGAUCCACACUCCAUACCAGAUGGUGGCGGUAAUGCACCAAAUCGUUGUUUGCCAACCGCCAUAAAACCUCAGAAAAGAAGAAGACGAAGAAGCAUAAAAGGUGAUCCCACACACCUGCUCGUCUUCACGCAGGUGUUUUUCAAUCAGCUGAUGACCGCUGAUUGCUUCCUCCUCCUCUUCUUCUGUAAUCUUCCUCCAGCCAACACUGCCGUGAUAUCACUUUGAAGAGAAACUGCACGAGCCGUGGAACGAAAAAAAAAAGACGCGAAAAAAGUGUCGCUGCUUAACUACUGAAACUGUUCCGGGAAGAGGGAACUUGUGGCGAUAAAGCACCAACCGCCCUAAAACCUCAAAAAAGAACGAGGGAACUUUAAAAAAAGAAGAGCAAAUAAAAGAAAACUACCGCGGCGUGACGUCAGACGCCGAAAACGUGGUCGAGUGCAUCAACUUCUGUACAAAAACGCAGCAAGGCACUCCAGAAUGGCGUGUUCGACCUGGUCCAGAUUGAUGGCCCGUCCAGAAUGGAACAACCUGCUUCUUGCUCACAGAGACCUGGUCGGACCUGCCAUUUACAAAAGCCUGAGGCUGUCAAAAAAAGAUUGAUCUUCAUGAAGAUCGUCAAAUAGUAGGUGUCAUGAUUUAAUUCUGGGUGGCCGCUGUGUCCCCACUCUUUCUUGGCCGCCGUGCCUACAUCUCUCUGCAUUGUCCAACAUGGCCACGUUCUUUCUAUUCUCCUGCUUUCCAUCUGUCAAAUAGCUGAGGAUUGUACAUGGAGCAUUUGCCACAGGUUGGUUUUGUAUGUUCCUGUCCGCUUUAUUGGGUGGUCUGAAUUUGUAAGAUGUAAAUCUGGUCCUUGUUGGUUAUAUUUUUUGUGGAACUGCUGAGCGAGUGAUUUGAAAGAACGAGGUGACUGAUGGAGUGUUUGAAAUUCUCUCUCUGAAUGAAUGGGUUGUGUGUGUGUGACGGAGAUGCCUGGAUUGAAUAGUUAAGAUAGUCUGAGAAUAUGAUUAUGUUCACAUUAAAGUAGAUAUGGUAUCUUGAAGGGCUUAGAUGCUUGAUAAGUUAUAAUGCACUAACAUUUCAUUUUUAGGUCCGUCUACAAAGAUCACACUGAGAAUUUACAUGCAAAGAUAAGAACACACCUCUGUAUGAAGGCGUUUUCUUGCCUUGCCACUGUUUCUUUAGCACUAAAAUAUAGUGAUGUUGGAGGACCAGAUCUUAAAUGAGGUUUAAAUGGAUGUUGGUGUACAGUUAAAGCUAGAUGGUAGGAAUAAAAUUAAUGUUGUGCCUUUGUGCCUUGUACACUCUGUUUCAAGGCUUAGACUUCUCUUUUCCAUCGUGGCCAUUAAUCUACGGUUAGCCCUAGAACGUUAAAAUAGAUCCUGGUGAUCUACAGUACCUGGCUUUGGAUGGCAGCCCUGCCAUUGCCUUUGUAUGGCUAUACGUCCUUUAAUGCAAGUCGGCCAUGAUCGCUAACUGUGCCCGCGCCUUCGUGGCCUACUUGUGUUAUUAUACGUCUGGCCUUGCGCGUAUAGUAAUUUUACAUAGGCAAACAUGGGUGCCUUCCGCGUCCAUGCACAGUAAGUGAACUAACCUGUACUUUUCUUUUAGCAUCAGUCAAGAGGAGCACCGACAUCCCUGCAUGUCCAUCUUAAUUAGAUUGCGUUUUAGUUGCGGUAAAAUUUCAAAUGUUAAGUGCAGUUUUUCUUUCUUGCUUGGCCGCCGUGCCGUUACUAUACCUGCUCUGACCUGAAUCUUGAUUCUUCAUGGCCACUGAGUCAUGACUGUACUUGGUCUUGGUGUUCAUGCCAGUCUAUCAUUUCUGAUCUGUUUUUCCUACUAAAUUUUCCUGGUUGAGUGUGUGUGUGCGUGUGUGUGUGAUGACUGACUUGGACUGAUGUUAAUCUGACCUUUGUACCAAGACUAACACUCCAAUUGACUUUACUGCAAAAUGUAUGCUGCAAGAUGCACACCAAUUAGACAACAAGCAAAUUCAAAUUCUUUCAAAAACAGGUCAAAUGUUUACCUUUCAGGUAAGUAUUAAAGGCCUUUGCCACAUGAUCUUUGUGGG